CCGGAGGAUUGGCGGGUGGUCAGAGAAACUUUGCGGGAGAAAGAAGUGCCGUGGCCGGGCUGCAGGAGGACGUCACAACCGCUCCGUGGAUGAUGGGGAGGUGCAGAAAGAAGAGGGCUAGCAUGGAUUACGAUGCUUCUGCUGGAGUAAGAUGCUUAGUAGCUAAUUGCCUCCUCACAAGAAAAUCUUCCGGAGCGCACACAAGUCCUCUGCUCCAUUCUUAAACUCAAGCAUGACGACAUCUGACUUUUGAGGAUUUGGGAUCUGUGCAAGAAUAAAGAGCAAUAAGUGUGUGUGCGGGUCACACACCUGAGUAGUGGCAGUGACGGACAGGACAAAGGGGGGCACAG